rnacentral:tRNA from 1 species
UCUUUGGUGGUCCUGUGGCUAAGACUCUGCACUUCCAUUGUAGGGGCAUGGGUUCGAUUCCUGGUCAGAGAA